rnacentral:rRNA from 1 species
UGGGGAAUAUUGGGCAAUGGGCGCAAGCCUGACCCAGCAACGCCGCGUGAAGGAAGAAGGCUUUCGGGUUGUAAACUUCUUUUAAGAGGGAAGAGCAGAAGACUGUACCUCUAGAAUAAGCCACGGCUAACUACGUGCCAGCAGCCGCGGUAAUACGUAGGGUGCGAGCGUUAUCCGGAUUUAUUGGGUUUAAAGGGUGCGCAGGCGGCGCGCCAAGUCAGCGGUCAAAGUUCCGGGCUCAACCCGGUGUCGCCGUUGAAACUGGCGUGCUCGAGUGCGUGCGAGGAAGGCGGAAUGCGUUGUGUAGCGGUGAAAUGCAUAGAUAUGACGCAGAACUCCGAUUGCGAAGGCAGCUUUCCAGCGCGCUACUGACGCUGAGGCACGAAAGCGUGGGGAUCGAACAGGAUUAGAUACCCUGGUAGU